UACGUAGGGGGCAAGCGUUGUCCGGAUUUAUUGGGCGUAAAGAGCGUGUAGGCGGCCACACAGGUCAGCUGUGAAAACUCGAGGCUCAACCUCGAGACGUCGGUUGAAACCGUAUGGCUAGAGUCCGGAAGAGGAGAGUGGAAUUCCCGGUGUAGCGGUGAAAUGCGCAGAUAUCGGGAAGAACACCCGUGGCGAAGGCGGCUCUCGUGGACGGUACUGACGCUGAGACGCGAAAGCGUGGGGAGCGAACGAGGA
rnacentral:rRNA from 1 species